rnacentral:rRNA from 1 species
AUGGCUUACUAUUCAGAUCAUCAUGCUUUUGCGAGCAACACUACAAACAGCACGGAAAGUAUUCAAGACUUGAUAAGUAAGAUUUCCCAUCGAUUAGAUGAUUUAGCUCAGCAGCGAGAAAUAGUUUUUGAGGAUAGGCCUAGCUCUUAUGAUCCUUAUUCUAGAGGCUAUCCUUAUGUUGCUCCUACCUGCCAUAUUUGUGGAUUUCAGGGCCAUUCGCCCGCUGAAUGUCAGCAUGGUUACUCUCACCCUCCAGAUUGUUUUGGCAUGAGCUUCACUCAAGAGCAUAGCUCAUACCAAAGCAAGCAAUUAGUCACAUGGGUGGCCUAA